rnacentral:misc_RNA from 1 species
GCUUCAGCCAUCUGUUGAUAUCAAAAUGGUGCUUGCUCGGCUGAUGGAAAGGCUCUCGAACUAUGCUGCUUUAAGUACAGAUGUUUUACCUGAGUUUUUUCAAGUGGAAGCUUUUGCGAAACUAAACAGUGCCAUAGGGAAGGUGAUAGAAGCCCAAGAAAACAUGCCUAUAGCUGGAGUUGUGACUUUAUAUUCAUCUCUUUUAACUUUUACUCUUCAUGUCCACCCUGAUCGUCUUGAUUAUGUGGAUCAGAUUUUGGGUGCAUGUGUUAAGAAGCUUUCCGGUAAAGGAAAGCUCAAAGACAGUAUAGCAACAAAACAGAUUGUGGCCCUUCUAAG